rnacentral:rRNA from 1 species
GAUGAACGCUAGCUACAGGCUUAACACAUGCCAGUCGCGGGGCAGCAUGGGGGUUGCUUGCCAUCCCCGAUGGCGACCGGCGCACGGGUGAGUAACGCGUAUUCAACCUGCCCUUCACCACGGGAUAACCCGGCGAAAGUCGGACUAAUACCGUAUGUUGUCCAUUGACGGCAUCCGAUUUGGACGAAAGGCUUGGCGGUGAGGGAUGGGGAUGCGUCCGAUUAGCCAGACGGCGGGGUAACGGCCCGCCGUGGCUACGAUCGGUAGGGGUUCUGAGAGGAAGGUCCCCCACACUGGAACUGAGACACGGUCCAGACUCCUACGGGAGGCAGCAGUGAGGAAUAUUGGUCAAUGGGCGUAAGCCUGAACCAGCCAAGUAGCGUGCAGGAUGACGGCCCUAUGGGUUGUAAACUGCUUUUAUGCGGGGAUAAAGUGGCCCACGUGUGGGCUUUUGCAGGUACCGCAUGAAUAAGGACCGGCUAAUUCCGU